rnacentral:rRNA from 1 species
UGCAAGUCGAGGGGCAUCACGUGUAGCAAUACAUGGUGGCGACCGGCGGAAGGGUGCGUAACGCGUGAGCAACAUGCCCGUAUCAGGGGGAUAAACCAGGGAAACUUGGUCUAAUACCGCAUAAUAAGUUUCUAAGGCAUCUUAGGGAUUUUAAAGUUUUGGUGGAUACGGAUUGGCUCGCGUGACAUUAGCUAGAUGGUAAGGUAACGGCUUACCAUGGCAACGAUGUCUAGGGGUUCUGAGAGGAAGAUCCCCCACACUGGAACUGAGACACGGUCCAGACUCCUACGGGAGGCAGCAGUGAGGAAUAUUGGACAAUGGAUGGAAAUCUGAUCCAGCCAUGCCGCGUGCAGGAAGACAGCCCUAUGGGUUUUAAACUGCUUUUAUACGGGAGCAAUAAGGACUAUGCGUAUUUUGAUGAGAGUACCGUACGAAUAAGCACCGGCUAACUCCGUGCCAGCAGCCGCGGUAAUACGGAGGGUGC